rnacentral:tRNA from 1 species
GGGGAUGUGGCUCAGUGGUUGAGGGCAUGUACUGCUCUUGCAGAGGGCCUGGGUUCGGUUCCCAACAUCCACA